ACGGAGAGGAGAAAUGUGCAGCAGGUGGAAUUGGCAGGAGCCAGCGAUUGACUCAGAGUGCAGAGGGAGGGAACAAGGGAGAGAGCGAGUGCAUCCCAGGCUGGGUGGGAGCUUGGCGGUGCCUUCUGCGUGGGGAACAGGAGCAGAGGCGAGGUGUGGGGAGACCACGAGCUCCGCGUCCCCCAGGCGGUGGCCUCCACCAGGGAGCUGGGUGAUGGAAGGGGCAGCUCAGCCCCAACACAGCGAAGCCCUGAGCAGAAACACCUUUCUUUCCCCGUCCCCGGCCUCUCCCUGGAAUCAUUGUCUUCCUGGCGGAGCGCUGGCGCCAAGAACACCUGCCACCUGCCACUGCCACACCUGUGCGGGUCUCCAGCUGGGGCAGACUCUGCUGCAGCCAAGGAUUCUGCUGACAUCAACGUCUGGGGAACCGGGCACACGGCAGGAGAACCGGGGACAGUGGAGCCCUGGCUGAACUUGAGCUGGAAAACACGAGUGGUCGCACAAGGUGGGUCUGCAGCCGGCCAGACGAGGCAAAGCCAAGGUCAAGAGCACGCUGGCUGUGGAAGACGGCUGCAGACAUGGCCGUCUGUGUUCUGCCACAUGGGGGUGUGCCGUGGGCAAGGCACUGCACCUCUGAGUCUGUGUCGUCGCCUUUGAGAGGGACACAGACAGCAUCCCCCUGGUGGUGCCGUGGCCAGGGUUAGGCACGCUGCCAUUUAAGGGCAUAGGACUGUCAAGGGCUGGGCCAACUUUAUUUUCUGUGAUUAUAGGGCUGCGGUGUGAAAUCCUUUAGGGGUAUGUGUCUGUUACUGCUUUAUAAUUGUGUGUGUGUAUGUGUGUGUGUUUUACAGGCAGAGUGGACAGUGAGAAAGAGAGACAGAGAGAAAGGUCUUCCUUUGCCAUUGGUUCACCCUCCAAUGGCCGGUACACCGCGCUGAUCCGAAGGCAGGAGCCAGGUGCUUCUCCUGGUCUCCCAUGGGGUGCAGGGCCCAAGCACUUGGGCCAUCCUCCACUGCACUCCCGGGCCACAGCAGAGAGCUGGCCUGGAAGAGGAGCAACCGGGACAGAAUCCGGCGCCCUGCCAGGACUAGAACCCGGUGUGCUGGUGCCGCAAGGUGGAAGAUUAGCCUAUUGAGCCGUGGCGCCGGCCUAUAAUUGUUUUUAAUUAAAAGAUGAUUUACUUGAGGCAGAGAAAGAGAGAGAGAGAGAUUGAUCGAUCUUCCAUUUGCUGGUUCACUCCCCGAGUGCCUGCUGGACUCUAAGGCUGGGCAGGACUGAAGCCAGAAGCCCGGCACUCAGUCCAGGUCUUCCGUGGGGGUGGCAGGGGCCCAGCCGCUGGAGCCAUCCUGCUGCUUGGGGUCUGCAUUGGCGGGCAGCUGGAGUCAGGAGCGGGAGGUGGGUAUCGAACCCGGGCACUCUGCUGUAGGACCUGGGCAUCUUAAGGGUGUGACCAGCGCCCACCCCCACUGCUAGCCCCUUAGGAGGCCCUCCAGAAGAAGAUACUGGGGGGAGAGGGGGCACUGCAGAUGCUGGUCCCAGUGUCUCAUUCAUGUAGAAAAGGGCAUCUUGUUUCCAGUGGUCUUCAAGCUUUGGCUUUUCUCCCAUUCGUCCAUUCAACACACAUUUUUCACUGGCCUGGGACCACUGAGCCAGACCCAGACCCUGAAACCCACCCGGUUCCCCCCAGGAGGCCCGCGAGGGGGCCCAGGCCAGGCUUGGCUAGCGGCUCAGCUGGUGCACGGGCAGCACACGGGGCCAGGAAGCCAGCACUGCCUGGAGCAGCCAAGAGGGGCCUGCGACCAGCACGGAGCCCGAGGUGGGGAGCCAGCCACAGGUGGAGCCCUUGGGUUGUGCUCGGCGCCUGCGGCGAGAGACCGCACCGAGGGUGAGGCCGGUGUGGCAGGUGGGGACUUGCCAGCAGAGAGCAUGAUGGGAGCCGGGCCCCGGCUGAGGCACAAAGGCUGGGCCCAGCCCAGGCCGCAGUCCUGUGGCGAGUCCUCCUCGGACUCUGCGGGCAGAUCUCCAGCCUCGCACGUCCUGGUGAGCCUGUGCCCUGGCUGCAGCCCACCCACCGCCCCUCUGCUUAGCGCCAGGCACGGGGCUCACUGCUCUAGCCCUGCACGCCCGGCACUGCGUGGUCACCGUCCACGCUGACCUUCUCCACCGUCCACCUCCCGGGCACAGGCGCUACGUCACUUUUCCUCUCUUCACGUCAGACGUCUCUGGGUCUCGCCCCGUGGAUGUUUGAGUGAAUGAAGGAAUGCGCACAGGCCCUUUCUGCCUGACAAGUUACCGUAGGCAGCCUGUCGCCGUGUCUGCUGUCCUUGUUGCUCGGGCACCUUCUGAACGGUUGGAAGCCUUGCUGGCCGUCCAAGAACAUUCGUGGGGCCGGUGGAGACAUCGGCCCCAGGCCCCACAGCGCAGCGGGCAGCCUCAGUUGGAAGCCAGAUCCAUCAGCAAGUCUCAGGACGCUCUCUCUCUCUCUCUCCCUCUCCCUCUCUCUCUCUCUCUCUCUCUCACACACACACACACACACACACGGGCACAGGGGCCGGGCGUGAGUGAGUGCAGAGGGCUGUACUAUGAAUAGUAGCGGUCCUGCCCUUUCUCUAACAGCCUCCCGCUGUGGCCCUGCCAUUCCUGACACUGAGUGUCCCCUGGCUCUGCUGACCGCGGCGUCGCUGUCCUGGAACUGUCCCAGGGCUGCCGGGCAGGCUGGAGUCCCAGUUCGGGAAGAGUCCCUGGGGGUGUCUGCCUCCCCCACCCCACCCAGUGCCCCCUGCCCCUGCCGGGCUCUUCCACAUCUGUGUCUGAAACAGGGGCACUGGAUUCUGCCUUAGCUCCUCCGACAGUCCCUCCUGCCCUAGAUGAAAUGGGUGUGGUGCAUUUGGCCCCUGGCACGCAGCCCAUGCCCAGCCUCACCCACACCCCUCCCUGCCAGCCAGGCUAGCCCCACGCGGCCGCACCUGUUCUGGGCAGUGCCCGGCCCCGCCCUGAAUUCCGACCUCCGCCUCCACACCCCUCUGCCUGGCACCUCCCGAGUUGCCCCGGCUCCCUGCCUUGGACCUGAAGACCCCAUCUGCCAGUGAAGCCCGGGCCCCUCCCCAGAGGGGGUGGGGCUCACCUCGGGAGGCUGAGAGCGGUCAGCCCUGUGGCCUGGCCUGGCCAACCUCCUGGGCAGGUGGCUCAGCCUCCACCCCUCCCCACGCUGAGUCACAGUCCUUUUCCAGUGUCCAACUCUGCCGAAGGCCUGAGUGUGGCAGGCACCUCUGAUACAGAGGAGGCCACUCCGGGUGGCUGGCGAUGGACUGGACACCUCACGGAUCUUUCCUGCCCGUCAGUUUUACCACAAUCUAGGCUGUUCCAGACUCGGCAAAUACAGGAGCCUCCAGCGGCACACGUCUGUGAGCCCCCGCCCCCCUUCCUCACGUCAGAGGUGGCUCUCUAGGGACCUGAUGGCGCCGCACCUGCUGGCAUCGCCCCGACUCGUUCCCCCCUGUGAAGGUGGGCACAGCACAACACCCAGGCCAGCGGCUCUGAGCCCCGCACGAGGGCAUCUGCCUCCUUCCGGCCCCUGGGGCCUCCCCACAGGGUGGUAGAGCAGAGGCCACCCGUGUCCCAGCCUCGCUUGCACUGGGGGCCUUGGGGCGACUGUUUGUGUUUUUGCUUCCUGGCCGAUCGGCAGCCGCUCCCGCCUCUGGCGCGGGGAGGCAGGUUCAGCUGAGGAUUCUGACCACGGCUGCCUUCCUCCCGGGAUUAUCAGGCAGGCUGGGCUGCACGGCCUUGCUUCCGGCCCUUUCAGCGGUCACCCCUGCUGGGCCGGGCGUGGGGUGGGGAGAGGCUGAGACACUGCAGGGUGGUCUCAGGGCCGCGGGGUGGGGCUGGCUGACGUCCACGGGCACAGAUUCAGCCCACAGAGCUCAGAGAGGCAGGAGUGACGGGGACAGAAGUGCUCGGUGGCCGGCAGUGGGCACCCGCACCUGCGGGCCUGCCUGUCGCGGGCACGAGACGCACCCAGGGCAGAGGCAGCACCAUGCGGUCCUCAUCGCUCGUAACUGCCUGACUCCAGAGAGGACCGGAGGGCUGUCCAGAGGAGUCUCCCGUUCCAAAACCACCUCAGGCAGUUUCCUGUGUCUUAGUUUUGGAAUUUGUCCAAAGUCUACAUCCUGUGCUUUAGCUCCUCCAGGUUUGCUUUUAUACAAAGACAGGAUUCUAAAACGCAGGCCAGCUAAUUUACUGAUUUCACCCCAAGUCUUUGCGUCAAACUGACCUGUCGGGAAGACACAGCACUGCCAUUCUCUGGCCCAUCCCCAGGCUCCCCCAGAGCUGCAGGUAGCACAGUGUGAGAGGGAGGAAAACGCAUCCAAGGCGUCUUCAAAGAGUGCACGGAAAACAUGUAGCAGUUAAAAACUGUGUGUUUCAAAUGUUUUUUGCACCAAAAUAAAUGUCUUUCAAUUCAGUUUUUUCA
rnacentral:lncRNA from 1 species